AUUGAACGCUGGCGGCAGGCUUAACACAUGCAAGUCGAGCGGGGUGAUGGUGCUUGCACUAUCACUUAGCGGCGGACGGGUGAGUAAUGCUUAGGAAUCUGCCUAUCAGUGGGGGACAACAUCUCGAAAGGGAUGCUAAUACCGCAUACGUCCUACGGGAGAAAGCAGGGGAUCACUUGUGACCUUGCGCUAAUAGAUGAGCCUAAGUCGGAUUAGCUAGUUGGUGGGGUAAAGGCCUACCAAGGCGACGAUCUGUAGCGGGUCUGAGAGGAUGAUCCGCCACACUGGGACUGAGAAACGGCCCAGACUCCUACGGGAGGCAGCAGUGGGGAAUAUUGGACAAUGGGGGGAACCCUGAUCCAGCCAUGCCGCGUGUGUGAAGAAGGCCUUAUGGUUGUAAAGCACUUUAAGCGAGGAGGAGGCUACUGAGACUAAUACUCUUGGAUAGUGGACGUUACUCGCAGAAUAAGCACCGGCUAACUCUGUGCCAGCAGCCGCCGUAA
rnacentral:rRNA from 1 species